rnacentral:ncRNA from 1 species
AGGGAACGUGAGCUGGGUUUAGACCGUCGUGAGACAGGUUAGUUUUACCCUACUGAUGUUGUGUUGUUGCAAUAGUAAUCCUGCUCAGUACGAGAGGAACCGCAGGUUCAGACAUUUGGUGUAUGUGCUUGGCUGAGGAGCCAAUGGGGCGAAGCUACCAUCUGCGCGGAUUACGACUGAACGCCUCUAAGUCGGAAUCCCGGCUAGAAGUAACGAUAGAAGAGGGCAAUUUCAAGCGCCGAUCUGUCGAUCCGGUUGGCCAAGUUUAGCCGGGGCUGGAAGACGUCUGCUCGCCUUAGCGUCUUGCUGGGGGGGCAGCGGCGAAAGCCCCGGUGAGGAGAGCCGUACGUUGUGACUGGGACAUCUGGAAGCGGCCAUAAAUCUGGCGUCGCUCCUGCCGUCGUAACGCCGAAAGCAUGUUCGUGGGACUCGGUGCUUCCGAAGGACUCGUAAACGACCUGAUUCUGGGCCAGGGUGUCGUGAGUGGCAGAGCAGUAGUUACGCUGCGAUCCAUUGAAAGUCAUCCCUUAUCCGUCCAACCUUUCUC